UACGUAGGGUGCGAGCGUUGUCCGGAAUUAUUGGGCGUAAAGGGCUCGUAGGCGGUCUGUUGCGUCAGGAGUGAAAACCCGGGGCUUAACCCCGGGCCUGCAUUCGAUACGGGCAGACUCGAGUGUGGUAGGGGAGACUGGAACUCCUGGUGUAGCGGUGAAAUGCGCAGAUAUCAGGAAGAACACCGGUGGCGAAGGCGGGUCUCUGGGCCACUACUGACGCUGAGGAGCGAAAGCGUGGGGAGCGAACAGG
rnacentral:rRNA from 1 species